rnacentral:tRNA from 1 species
AUAUAAAUAAACUAAAUUAAGUUAUUAGGUUCAUACCCUAAGUAUAGAUUUAUUAUAAUCUUUUAUAUA